UAGACCGAUUUCUAAAGGGAUUAAUGGCAGCAAUCAAGGAUGUCCGGGUUUCUGUCACGUAUACAGAUUUUAGAUAUGCCUUGGGGUGUCAGAGCAUGAUUUUACAAUUCAUGAAGUUAGCCCAACGAUUAGAAAUUCAUACAACAGUGAUUCAUGAGGGUGUCCAGGUACAUAGAAUA
rnacentral:lncRNA from 11 species